rnacentral:rRNA from 1 species
AUGGUUCGUUGGUCGGAGAUUUGUAAACCGCGCUAUCAGGGUGGUCUCGGGAUCAUGUCCUCCAAAUGCAUGAACAUUGCCCUCCUAACGAGAUGGUUGUGGCGGAUUGCCAACGGACAGGGUGGCCUGUGGCUUCACCUCAUUCAGCAGAAAUACCUCCGUGGCCAGCCUCUCACCUUCUGCCAGUGGUCUGGAGGUUCCUAG